rnacentral:ncRNA from 1 species
UCUGCCGAAGCUGUGGGAUGUCAAAAUGCAUCGGUAGGGGAGCGUUCCGCCUUAGAGGGAAGCAACCGCGAAAGCGGGGGUCGACGAAGCGGAAGCGAGAAUGUCGGCUUGAGUAACGAAAACAUUGGUGAGAAUCCAAUGCCCCGAAAACCCAAGGCUUCCUCCGCAAGGUUCGUCCACGGAGGGGGAGUCAGGGCCUAAGAUCAGGCCGAAAGGCGUAGUCGAUGGACAACAG